rnacentral:tRNA from 1 species
UCCCCGAUAGUCUAGUGGUGNAGGAUAUCUGCUUGUCAUUCGAGAAAUCGUUGAUCGCAGGGGACCGGGGUUCAAUUCCCCGUCGAGGAG